rnacentral:rRNA from 1 species
GAUGAACGCUGGCGGCGUGCCUAGUACAUGCAAGUCGAGCGAACGGACGAGAAGCUUGCUUCUCUGAUGUUAGCGGCGGACGGGUGAGUAACACGUGGAUAACCUACCUAUAAGACUGGGAUAACUUCGGGAAACCGGAGCUAAUACCGGAUAAUAUUUUGAACCGCAUGGUUCAAAAGUGAAAGACGGUCUUGCUGUCACUUAUAGAUGGAUCCGCGCUGCAUUAGCUAGUUGGUAAGGUAACGGCUUACCAAGGCAACGAUGCAUAGCCGACCUGAGAGGGUGAUCGGCCACACUGGAACUGAGACACGGUCCAGACUCCUACGGGAGGCAGCAGUAGGGAAUCUUCCGCAAUGGGCGAAAGCCUGACGGAGCAACGCCGCGUGAGUGAUGAAGGUCUUCGGAUCGUAAAACUCUGUUAUUAGGGAAGAACAUAUGUGUAAGUAACUGUGCACAUCUUGACGGUACCUAAUCAGAAAGCCACGGCUAACUACGUGCCAGCAGCCGCGGUAAUACGUAGGUGGCAAGCGUUAUCCGGAAUUAUUGGGCGUAAAGCGCGCGUAGGCGGUUUUUUAAGUCUGAUGUGAAAGCCCACGGCUCAACCGUGGAGGGUCAUUGGAAACUGGAAAACUUGAGUGCAGAAGAGGAAAGUGGAAUUCCAUGUGUAGCGGUGAAAUGCGCAGAGAUAUGGAGGAACACCAGUGGCGAAGGCGACUUUCUGGUCUGUAACUGGCGCUGAUGUGCGAAAGCGUGGGGAUCAAACAGGAUUAGAUACCCUGGUAGUCCACGCCGUAAACGAUGAGUGCUAAGUGUUAGGGGGUUUCCGCCCCUUAGUGCUGCAGCUAACGCAUUAAGCACUCCGCCUGGGGAGUACGACCGCAAGGUUGAAACUCAAAGGAAUUGACGGGGACCCGCACAAGCGGUGGAGCAUGUGGUUUAAUUCGAAGCAACGCGAAGAACCUUACCAAAUUUUGACAUCCUUUGACAACUCUAGAGAUAGAGCCUUCCCCUUCGGGGGACAAAGUGACAGGUGGUGCAUGGUUGUCGUCAGCUCGUGUCGUGAGAUGUUGGGUUAAGUCCCGCAACGAGCGCAACCCUUAAGCUUAGUUGCCAUCAUUAAGUUGGGCACUCUAAGUUGACUGCCGGUGACAAACCGGAGGAAGGUGGGGAUGACGUCAAAUCAUCAUGCCCCUUAUGAUUUGGGCUACACACGUGCUACAAUGGACAAUACAAAGGGCAGCGAAACCGCGAGGUCAAGCAAAUCCCAUAAAGUUGUUCUCAGUUCGGAUUGUAGUCUGCAACUCGACUACAUGAAGCUGGAAUCGCUAGUAAUCGUAGAUCAGCAUGCUACGGUGAAUACGUUCCCGGGUCU